CAACGUUCCAAGUUGAUAGAGUGAUAGCUCUUUCUUGACUCGGUGGGUGGUGGUGCAUGGCCGUUCUUAGUUCGUGGAGCGAUUUGUCUGGUUAAUUCCGAUGGUGAUGGUUGAGUAUCAUUGAAAUUAUGAGCCAUUACAUAACGUGUGGUUUGAAUCCGAUUAUUCGAUUGUUUCAUUCUAACCGGUUGUUUGAUUUCUUU
rnacentral:ncRNA from 1 species